GGAGAGGUUGCCGAGUUGGCUUAAGGCGUCCCGUCAAAACGGGAUUCUCCCAAAAGGAGAUGUGGGUUCGGCGACCGGAGGGAGGCGGAGGGAGCGAAGCGAGCGAGCACAUCCCACCCUCUGGCA
rnacentral:tRNA from 1 species